rnacentral:rRNA from 1 species
UACGUAGGGGGCAAGCGUUGUCCGGAAUCAUUGGGCGUAAAGAGCGUGUAGGCGGCCCGGUAAGUCCGCUGUGAAAGUCCAGGGCUCAACCCCUGGGAUGCCGGUGGAUACUGUCGGGCUCGAGUCCGGAAGAGGAGUGUGGAAUUCCUGGUGUAGCGGUGAAAUGCGCAGAUAUCAGGAGGAACACCAAUGGCGAAGGCAGCACUCUGGGACGUAACUGACGCUGAGGCGCGAAAGCGUGGGGAGCAAACAGG